GGAUCCACCGGAGCCGUCACGGUCGUCGGGCGACGCGGUGGCUGCCGUGAAUGGCACUGGAAUGUCCCCGGCGGCACCGCCUGCAGUAGCAGCAACCGGCCGCCGAUCGAACUGGCGCAGGGUCCCCGAUUUGGUGUACAGUCGACACAAGCUGAACUCGCUUCUCAGCUACAAAACAAUACGAAGUUCACAUCAGACUACAGAUUCGUAUAAUAAUUACCUUUCUCAAUCUCACAGAUAUGGAUGAAUAGCCUUAUCGAUCAGCAACUUGCAUGCCAAGAUGUAACACGAGAAAAAGAAGUUAUCGAAAACAUGCAUGUAGAUGUAGGUGUGGCUGUCAUGAUGAGGAUCCCAUGUUAAUUGGCACUAUCUAUAAGCACCACAUACAAUCUGAAACCUAUGCCUAGAUGAAUUGCUAGUUGCGAGCUGCUUUUCGGCACUUAUCCGGCGCGAAAAGCGACAGCCAUGUCUGUGUGAUACAUAUGGAGAUGGACAUGUGAAUGACAUGGAGUAUUACCUGCGGAGGGCGGUUCGGUGGCGCGGCAGGUGCCGCGGGUGCGCCGGCGCCGUCGUCGUCGUGCUCGUGC
rnacentral:lncRNA from 1 species